GCGGCCAACCGCGCGGCCUCCCCAUCCUCAACGCCUAGCCCCAAUGCACUGCACCCCCGCAUCAUCCACCCCCUCCCUCUCAUCAAGCCUUUUUCUCGACCGCGAUAGUGACGGCGACAAGCCGACAAGCACGACCCCCCUCUGCCUCGCCACGUGUGGCCUCCUCCACCGCCUGGUUUGGAGUUUUCCCAUCCUUGACGGCCCGGUUCGAACCCCGAUCAACUAUCCUCCAGAUCGGAUCAUGGCGACGACGCAAGAGCGAGAUGUGGCGCAGCCCUAACGACGGAGGAGGCGACGUGGAGUAACUAUGUGGUGGCGGAGCGCAAAGUCGACGAAGACUCUCUCUGCCGCCUUCUCACGAGUGGGAUUGUGCUACCACUUGAACAGUCAGAUAUCAUGCUUUGUUUGGAGGCCUAACUCUGCAAGCAAAUUCACACCGAUGGUUACCAAUUGAGUGAUGAAUAUUGUGUUAUCUGAAUAAUCUGUAGAGAGGGUCUUGACUAUGAGGUUAGGGAAGAAUGAUAGCUACUACUAUAUUAGCAAUGUCUGUUUUACUCUGCUAGUAUCCAGUGUAAUGUUUGAAUCAGCGCAAUCGGUCAGUUUUGACUACUACUACUACUAUGCCAUGUACUAGAACUUCUUGUUGUAUACAGUGUGUGGUUCUUAUUUUGGUAGCAAGACUGUAAUUUGAUAAAGCUUAUAAAGCAGCAGUAAGACAUGCCUUUGGUUG
rnacentral:lncRNA from 7 species